UACGGGGGGGGCAAGCGUUGUUCGGAAUUACUGGGCGUAAAGGGCUCGUAGGUGGCCAACUAAGUCAUACGUGAAAUCCCUCAGCUUAACUGGGGAACUGCGUCUGAUACUGGAUGGCUUGAGUUUGGGAGAGGGAUGCGGAAUUCCAGGUGUAGCGGUGAAAUGCGUAGAUAUCAGGAGGAACACCGAUGGCGAAGGCAGGUCUCUGGGCCACUACUGACGCUGAGAAGCGAAAGCAUGGGGAGCGAACAGG
rnacentral:rRNA from 1 species